CAGCCGCCGCGGGAAAACCAGCAGCCCAAGUGGUGGUCGCGUUUAUUGGGCCUAAAGCGCUCGUAGCCUGACCGGUAAGUUCCCCGUGAAAUCGGGUCGCCCAACGAUUCGGCUUGCGGGGAAUACUGUCGGUCUUGGGGCCGGGAGACGCCGAGGGUACUCCGGGGGUAGCGGUGAAAUGCUGUAAUCCUCGGGGGACUACCAGUGGCGAAGGCGCUCGGCGAUAACGGGCCUGACGGUGAGGGGCGAAAGCUGGGGGCGCGAACGGGAUUAGAUACCCCCGUAGUCCCUGUCUCUUAUA
rnacentral:rRNA from 1 species